GACGAACGCUGGCGGCGUGCUUAACACAUGCAAGUCGAACGGAAAGGCCCCUUUGGGGGUACUCGAGUGGCGAACGGGUGAGUAACACGUGAGUAACCUGCCCUUGACUUCGGGAUAACUUCAGGAAACUGGGGCUAAUACCGGAUAGGAAUCCUUGCUGCAUGGUGGGGGUUGGAAAGCUUCGGCGGUUUUGGAUGGACUCGCGGCUUAUCAGCUUGUUGGUGGGGUAGUGGCUUACCAAGGCUUUGACGGGUAGCCGGCCUGAGAGGGCGACCGGCCACAUUGGGACUGAGAUACGGCCCAGACUCCUACGGGAGGCAGCAGUGGGGAAUAUUGCACAAUGGGCGGAAGCCUGAUGCAGCAACGCCGCGUGCGGGAUGACGGCCUUCGGGUUGUAAACCGCUUUCAGCAGGGGCGAAGCUUGUGGUGACGGUACCUGCAGAAGAAGCACCGGCUAACUACGUC
rnacentral:rRNA from 1 species